AUCCAGCUGACUAGUCUCAAAUAGGACGAGACGCAUGUCCUGAAU
rnacentral:hammerhead_ribozyme from 2 species